rnacentral:rRNA from 1 species
CACGUAGGGUGCGAGCGUUGUCCGGAAUUAUUGGGCGUAAAGAGCUCGUAGGCGGUGUGUCGCGUCGGCCGUGAAAACCUGCAGCUUAACUGUGGGCGUGCGGUCGAUACGGGCAUCACUGGAGUUCGGCAGGGGAGACUGGAAUUCCUGGUGUAGCGGUGAAAUGCUUAGAUAUGACACAGAACACCGAUUGCGAAGGCAGCUAGCUAAACCGACAUUGACGCUGAGGCACGAAAGCGUGGGGAUCAAACAGG